GCCCCUGUCGUCCAACUGACAGGAUAUCACCAUCGAAAAGUCAUUCUCGGUGAAGAUCGGCGUUCAAACCGUCGUGGGGGCG